rnacentral:rRNA from 1 species
ACACCAGGGUAAUGAUUAAUAGGGAUAGUUGGGGGCAUUAGUAUUCAAUUGUCAGAGGUGAAAUUCUUGGAUUUAUUGAAGACUAACUACUGCGAAAGCAUUUGCCAAGGAUGUUUUCAUUAAUCAGUGAACGAAAGUUAGGGGAUCGAAGACGAUCAGAUACCGUCGUAGUCUUAACCAUAAACUAUGCCGACUAGGGAUCGGACGGGAUUCUUUUUGACCCGUUCGGCGCCUUACGGGAAAC